CAGUCAGCCGGAAAGAAAUCUCCACCCAGGGGCUGGACUGCUUGAUCGCGGUCUUCUCGCUGACAGACGCUGUAGUGGGUGUACACACUCCGCCUGGCUGUUGAGGGCUUCGCCAGUUCUACCGCAAAAUAAUGUGCAGCUCGUACCUGCAGAAGAAAAUUGGGGUAAAACCUACUGGCUCAACUGGACUAAACUGUCACUUGUCUGUGAGAUCCCACACUAUCACUGAGAGGGCAUGAAAUCAUGAAAUCCACCAGAGAACUGCACCUCUGACCUGAGUUAUCUUAAUAACAUUGUAUGCACAGUACACACUGACAGCUUUUGCAUUUUAAUCCAUAGAGCCUUGGUCAAUAAGAUGACAGAAAUGCUUUGUAGUUUUCUCAAAUUUCUUCUUUGACUUGGUCCCCUGGAACGUGGCUGGCUGUGGGAAUCGAAGGCACAGCUAGACAUUUUUGAGGACGUGUGCUGCUCUGGAUUAUAUCUGGUCCUGAGAACAUGGCCUGGACUGCCAUUGCUCAUGAGAAGAAGAAACAUUAAAAACAAACACUCUUAUCACAGUAUCUUGCUAAUCAUUGGAGUAUUCAUGUGAAUGAGGCUCAGUGAGAAAUUAGAUGCGCUGCCUGUUUUAGUAAAGUUCUGCUUCUCUGUUUUCAACACCCAGCAAGGAGGAACCUUCAGGUAUCAUCACCAGUUUGUCUUCUCUUAUGUUCUCGCAUGUACAGUAUAUGAGUCCUCCACCAACAAGAGGUUGAUAGCCUUUUUGUCAAGCAGUUAUCCUAAAUGCACCAUCCCAAACAUCUAUGUUGAUAAAAUAAAUUCCACUAAAUGAGCACAGAUGAUAAUUGUGCUAAUUAUUUGUAAUCUCCCAGUUCUGAUCUACACUUUUUGUUGAAGGCUGGUACUGAGUCUAGUGGAAGGAUUGUCAUGGCAGGUCCGUAGUGGACACUUGCAUUGAAUAAAACAUCCUGACAGCCUUAAGACAUUUGUGAGAUGGUUGUCUGAAACAUGUUUUAUUUUUGAGUUGAUCAGGGUUGUAAUACCAUUGAGAAUUCUCUGCAAUGUCAUUGGACAAAUUUUGACAAAUUGGUGGUUUGUUGUUUUGUCUGUACUGUGUGUGCCUGCAGAGCCAUUUUACAAUAUUUCUUUGUAAGCCAUUAUAUUUUAUUGUAGGUUCUGUGGUUUCUGACAUCACAACUUUCAAGCCACCAGAUCAUGUCAUCUAGACUCUUGCUAUUUCCAGUGAUUAAUGAGUCUGCCUUCAAACCCUUUCUUCUCAAUAAUGCCUUGAGCUCUGUCGGCACAAUGGUGUUUGGUAUGAUAUCUAUCUCCAUUACCACAAGUCUUGGAUAAAAAUGGAUGCAUUUUGAAUAGUACUCUUCACAGGAUACCAUCUGUUUUUAACAUGGUUCUAGGGUGCAUUUUAUUGACAGAGAAGAACCAUGCUCCAUAACCACGCUCCUAAUAUGCUCCAUGUACUGCAUUUUCUGGCUUGACAAUGUUUAAAAUUUUUAUUGAUAGCUGGCCACCAGUUUGUCAAGUUUAGGGAAAUGACAUGCCCAAAAAGUAGUUCAAGUAUGAGCUCUACAAGUGAAAUGUACUGAAUUCGUGAGCAAGCUUUCAAUUAUGUCUUUUUACGGUGUUUCUAACAUAUACCUUGCAUUGUAAGAUACCAAUUCAGUAACAUUGUUAAAAUCAACCUGCAUCUAAGGAAUAAUUCAUGGCAGUAAGGUACAGCAAAGUAAAGUAAAAGAAAAACAUUUAUAUCAGUUGUAAUGGAGUUUCCGUGAGGAACAAAUAAAAUAUGCAAAGCAUAA